AUACGUAGGGGGCAAGCGUUGUCCGGAAUUACUGGGCGUAAAGAGCUCGUAGGCGGCUCAGCAAGUCGGUCGUGAAAGCCCGAGGCUCAACCUCGGAACUGCGGUCGAUACUGCUGUGGCCAGAGUCCGGUAGAGGAGAGUGGAAUUCCCGGUGUAGCGGUGGAAUGCGCAGAUAUCGGGAGGAACACCAGUGGCGAAGGCGGCUCUCUGGGCCGGUUCUGACGCUGAGGAGCGAAAGCGUGGGGAGCAAACAGGAUUAGAAACCCCAGUAGUCC
rnacentral:rRNA from 1 species